GCUGAUGUAUGUACAGUUACUGCGUAGCGCCGUACGGCAUCGGUGCACAACUGCGGACCGGUCGGCCAUUUAUUUCUAAACUUCACUCCUUCGUCGACGGUACUACAACUGCUCCACUCAAGACGUAUGCAUCGUGUCCUUCACAUCACCUCUAAAAUCCGACGGCGAUGUUUGCCCGUUCGGUACGCCAUCGGCCGGCACAACGUUAAUAGGUUGGUUCAAAUUUCGACGGCGAGAACUUGUUGAUUCGGUACCGGUGAGCGUGCACUAUACUUCAGUCUCAUCAUGAAGGCCGGAGCGGUGGACACUGACCACAUCAUCCAGGGCAAGGGCAAUGGCUGUCCAUCGUGCAGAGUGUCCGAGACAGUAACUUUGUUACUAGUUGCUGCUUAUUUUUACUUCGGCUGCAAGCACGUGAAACCCGUGUAUUACUUCGGAACCACGAGUAUGUAUACAACAAUAAGUACAUCGAAUCGCGGACAUUACGUCCCCGUCAAUUAUUAAGAUUAGACGUUUGGUCCACUGAGAUUUUAAAUCGCUAUUUUUUAUUUUUUUUUAUUCGGUUUUAUUUGUAAAACACAAAACGUUAGUAUAAUUUAUAAUAAUAAAAUAUUACAAUAAGAUAUAUAAGUUAUCAACGAUUCAAUUUUCAACAGUCGAAUUUAAUUUAAAUAAUAUAAGUAAACUAUAUAGGUACGGAUAUAAUAAAUUUACCUUAGUACAAUACAAAUACAUUUAGGUAUAUACCUAGUUAUUUAUAUUUUAAUAUUUCAGUUAGUAAUGCAUAACACAAAAAAAUAGGUUUUUUUUUAAUUGAAAAUAAUGUAUAAUUGUAAGAAAAAUGGUAUAAGUUUAACAUUUCUACUCACAUUAUUCAAUAAGUUAUGAGUAGGACCCGGAAGUUGUUGCAUUUUAAUGUUGUUUUUUUUAGCUAUUUGUAACUAAGCAUGACAGUGGCGUGUAUCAUACAAAAAAUUGGUGUUGCUGAAAUAAUUUUAGGUGACCUACCCCUCAUAAUACUGUUAUACCAACAUCUAAAAUUUCCUAUAAUUCUUCUAUCAAUACCUACCCACCCAUAUUAAUUAAGGUGUUGCCUGAGCAACGCUUGGACCCUUGUUACACGCCACUGAAGCAUGAUAUUAAUUUAUUUCACAAAAAUACGAAAAAAAAAAUUAAAAGUUUAUAAUGCAUAGUUUUGUGCAUUUUGUGAUUUUGUAGUUUCAAAGCAUAUUUCUCAAUUAAUAUCAUUUUUUAGAACUGCACAUUUGAAGAUUAAUGAUAUGUUUAUGACAAUAAUUAUUAUAUCAUUGUAUAUGAAAAACGAAGCUAUCCAAUGUUUUAAUAGUAGAAGUUUAAAUGCACAUACAAUUAAAUUUGACUUUCAAGUAGUAAUUUUUUUUGUUGAUUGUAAUGGAAAAACUUAAAAGGAAUAUCGUAUUAAAUUUUGAAAUCUUUGAAAUAUUGUAAUACCUACAUUAAUACAUUACCUAAUUUAAUUGUGCACGAUGUUUUUUUUUGUUGUAUUAUUAACAUUAGCAUUUAAACAUAAAACUCACUAAUAAAUGACCAGAUGGACUUUUAAAAGCAUGAUAAAGUUCAAUACAAUUUUCUUUUAUUGUCAAUCUAUAAUUUGAUGUCUGAGUUCAAUAUUUAUGUAGAGUCUGGGUUGGUUUUGUGUUAUUCUUAAGCCAUAAUAUUUUUUCUUUAUACUCUAAUAAUUGAAUAUUACAAGUUAAAAUAAAUAUAAAAUAUUUAGGUACGAUCUUAAAUUAAGAAAUUAAUACCGACAUCAAUUAAAAUAACGUUUUCUGUGGGCUGAGGUGUUACAAUAACUCUCUACUGAUUUAUUUAUUUGCUUUUUAGAUUACAGUAUUUUUCAUAUAGUUUCCCUCUCACUGGGUGUACAUUAUUUCCAUCUUUAAAAUAAGGGGU